UCAGUUGGAAAAAAUGAAUAUGGAGGUUUAAUGUCGGUUUUAAAAACACGGAUGUUUAAUGUCGGUUUAAAACCGACAUUAAUCCUUCCUCUUUGAUGUCGGUUUAAAACCGACAUUAAAGCUAACCUUUAUUUUUUUUUAUUUUUAUAAAUUAAUAUUUUCCUUUUAGUUUAGGGUUUGCGUUGCUUUUGUUUUAGCAGCCGCCUUCGUCGCCCUUCCCUCUAUAUCUCUCAUCUCGCAUCUUCUCUUCCUUAAUAAUCAAUCUUUAGUCUCCUCUUCUUCCAUCUUUACGAUCUUCUCCGCUGCGUCAAUCGGCCGCUCGUCUUCUUCUUCCACCUUUUCUUCCAUCUUUCAUCUUCUCUUCUUUCAUCUCCAUUUUUCUUUCGAUUUUUAUUUAUGUAUGGAGAGAUGAACAUCUGAAUCAUCCUAAUUCUCAUAAUAAUGGCUUUGCGCCACAACGAAAGAAAAAGGGGUACAGCGAUCCCAUUCCUUCUUCUUUCUCUUUCCAUUUCCUUUUGGGGCCAACCAUUUCUGCAAUUAUUGGGUUGUUCAGCGGCGUAAACCUCAUUUUUCAGCCAGUUCCACCUUCCUCUGCUGUUUUUUGGUCGAUCACUCUCGUACCCUUCAAUUUUUUCCAUCUGGUGUGAUUUGUUGGACAUGCCUGCUGUAGGGCAACUGGAGAAGGAUGCCAAAUAUUCAUUGGUUUAUCAGCUUCUGAAGAUUUUUUUGACCCAGAGAUUGGAUGCUUACAUGGAAUUUGAAGCUGCAAAUUCUUCUUUAUUGAAAAGCUAUGGUCUCGUCCAUGAAGAUUGCAUUGCAAAGAUGAGGUUAUUAUCAUUGGUAGAUCUUGGCUCAAAUGAAUCUGCCCGUAUUCCAUAUGCUCUCAUCAAGGGUGUUACUUGUGUGUUACUUGUGCUUCAGAUCAAUGAUGAUGAGGUCGAACUGUGGGUCGUGAAGGCCAUUACGUCCAAAUUGAUUGACUGCAAAAUGGACCAGAUGAACGAAGUUGUGAUUGUGAGGGAGUCUUGGACAUCACCACCACAGAGGUCGCAGACUACUUAAUUGGAGGGUUCUCCUUUUUGCAAACUUGUUCGUGAAGUGCUUGUAGAGUUGGAGUUACCACAUUUAGUACGUUGGCUUUAAGGAAUUGUAUUAAGUUUUCUACGAGAUUCUGGAUUUUCAUUUCCACUCUGUUUGGGAUUUUUGGAUGCUGUCGAUUGGGUUUGCGGGAUUGUUAGCUACUGGCUUUGCAGAUUUGGAGGAAUAUAUAUUGGAUGGGAGAAGAAGCAUUUUCGAGACCUUUAAAAUGUCGUGAUCUUUGAAUUUAUAUAAUUCUGUUUGGUUGCAGUUAAUUUUACAAGCGUGUUUUCAUUGUUGGUGGAAUCAGACUUGAAUAAUAUGGGAUUUAUGUGCUUUAAGAUAUGAAUGGGAUUUAUUGUUGCUUUAAGAUA